rnacentral:rRNA from 1 species
CAAUUUAGCAUCGUAGUGACCUGCGGAGGAUCAUUACCAAAAAGGAUACCCUCACCGGUAUACCCCACCCGUGUCUAUCUACUCUUGUUGCUUUGGCAGGCCGUGGUCUCCCACUGUGGGCUCUGCCUGCAUGUGCCUGCCAGAGGACCAAACUCUGAAUUUUAGUGAUGUCUGAGUACUAUAUAAUAGUUAAAACUUUCAACAACGGAUCUCUUGGUUCUGGCAUCGAUGAAGAACGCAGCGAAAUGCGAUAAGUAAUGUGAAUUGCAGAAUUCAGUGAAUCAUCGAAUCUUUGAACGCACAUUGCGCCCUGUGGUAUUCCGCAGGGCAUGCCUGUUCGAGCGUCAUUAUAGCCACUCAAGCCUCGCUUGGUGUUGGGGCUCGCAAUCUUGCGGCCUCUAAAAUCAGUGGCGGUGCCGGUAGGCUCUGAGCGUAGUACAUCUCCUCGCUAUAGAGUCCUGUCGGUCCCCUGCCAAAACCCCCAUAUUUUAUAGGUUGACCUCGGAUCAGGUAGGGAUACCCGCUGAACUUAAGCAUAUCAA